UCCCUGGUAGUAUAUCGGUUAGUACACGCGCCUGUCAUGGGUAUUGCCGCGCGAAAGCUGGGUUCGACUCCCAGCCAGGGAG